rnacentral:rRNA from 1 species
UACGUAGGGUGCAAGCGUUGUCCGGAAUUAUUGGGCGUAAAGAGCUCGUAGGCGGUCUGUCGCGUCUGCUGUGAAAACUCAGGGCUUAACCCUGAGCUUGCAGUGGGUACGGGCAGACUAGAGUGCGGUAGGGGAGACUGGAAUUCCUGGUGUAACGGUGAAAUGUGUUGAUAUCAGGAGGAACACCCAUGGCGAAGGCAGCAAACUGGGCAUCAACUGACGCUGAGGCGCGAAAGCGUGGGUAGCAAACAGG